rnacentral:piRNA from 1 species
UAAGAACUUGGGCUACUCUGCAACUUUCC